ensembl:lncRNA
AAAAUGAUAGCUGCAUCAUUCAGUUGGGGGAACAUUUGUUGAACAAAGGUGGAUCAACUGCAAAACAUGAAGCAUGCAUACGACAGAAGUUGCGAGAACUAGGAAAACUACUUAUCACUGGCAGAAACGUUGCAUCUCUAAAGACAAUGGACGAUUUUAUACAUCCUCAAAACUACAUGAAGAUGGUUCAAGCUGUCAGACAUACAUGUGGAUAUGAUAGUGAAGCCAACACAUACAAAACUCCUUCUCUAGCAAAAAAACUUGGAAUAAGCCUGAUGAAGCUCAGCAAACUCAUGAAAGCUAAAGCUUUGAUUGCGGAAGACCACUGCUUGGCACAGAAUUUCAGUAACUUCCAAGAAAUACAUAAAGAACGGUGGUGUGAACUGAUCUCUGCAACAGCAGCACGAAAUCUUGAGGAGUCAAAGUGGAAUGCCCCCACAGUGUUGCCUUUUACAGAAGAUGUGCAAAAACUUCAUGCAUUUCUCAAUAAAAUGCAAGAUGAGUUGAUCAAGCAGUUAUCAGCGGAGCCCACAUCAAAAUACUGGUCUGAGCUUGCAAAGGUCGCUUUGACUCAAAUCAUCCUCUUUAACCGUCGUAGAGAGGGAGAGGUAUCGUGUAUGCUCCUGUCUGCUUUCUUAUCCAGGGACAGCAGUGAUCCACAUGAUGAUAUAGAUUGGGCCCUCUCUGAAGUUGAGAAAAAACUCUGCAGGCACUUUUCCAGAAUUGUGAUCAGAGGAAAAAGAGGACGUCCAGUUCCCAUUCUGCUGACCCCUAAAAUGCUGAAUGCAGUAGAGUUGCUUGUGAAGAACAGGGAGACUUGUGGAGUGCUGAAAGACAAUGUUUAUCUCUUUGCCCGGCCAUCAGCAAUGUCACAUUACAGAGGAUCAGAUUGUAUCCGCAGCUUUGCGAAGUCUUGUAAUGCAAAUAGUCCUGAUGCACUGACAUCCACAAAACUGCGAAAACAUGCUGCCACUCUUUCUACAGUUCUAAACUUGAAGGACACAGACAUGGAUCAGUUAGCAAACUUCCUGGGACAUGACAUCAGAAUUCAUAGGGAGUACUAUCGCCUUCCUGAAAAGACCCUCCAACUUGCAAAAGUCAGCAAAGUUCUUAUGGCAUUAGAACAAGGGAGACUUGCGGACUUCAAGGGCAAGAAUUUGGAUGAGAUCAAUAUUGACCCAAAUGAGGAGAUGGAGCUAAUUGAUGACGAUGAAGGAAGAAGUGAGGUAGAGGAUGAAACAUAUGAAGAACUUGGAGAAGCAAUGCAAGAGGAGUCACCAGAAGCAACACAAGUACCACCACUUGACACUGCACUUAUUUCCCUACCAGAGAGGAAGAAAUCACUGAAGAUACCUUCUGUUAAAGGUAAAACACAUGCACAGAAAAGAAGAAAAGCUUGGGAAGUGAUUGAGAUCCAGGCCGUGGAAACACACCUGAAAAACUUUAUCAGUUCAUGCCGUGUCCCAGGGAAGCUACCUUGCGAACAGUGCAUAAGAGCUGAGCCUUCAGCGCUUAAAAACAGAGAUUGGCAGAGUGUCAAAUUCUAUGUUCACAAUCGCAUUGUGGCUUACAAGAAAGAUUUGAGCCACAAUGUGUAA